rnacentral:rRNA from 1 species
UCGGACAGGGGGUAUAGGUUGGCGAAGAAUGAAAUCUCAAGACCCAACCUGGACCAACUGAGGCGAAAGCGGUGCUCUUGUACGCGUCUGUGGAUCAAGGACGAAGGCUAGAGGAUCGAAAGUGAUUAGACACCGCUGUAGUUCUAGCAGUAAACUAUGCCGACAUUCUCUGUUGUUAAGACGGGGAGGGGAGAAAUCUUAGUUUUCGGGCUCUGGGGAUAGUACGCUUGCAAGAGUGAAACUUAAAGCGAAAUUGACGGAAGAUCACCACAAGGAGUGGAUUGUACUGCUUAAUUUGACUCAACACGGGAAAACUUACCAGGGCCAAGUCUCUCGUAGAUUGGCGACAUGAGAGGGGCAAGAGUGGUGCAUGGCCGUUGGAAAUUGAUGGGA